rnacentral:lncRNA from 1 species
ACAGAGAAGACUGGAAUAUUUGAUACUUCAAUGCAAAGACAUAGAUGUACAUCGAAAAGAAAUAAUAGCAAAGGAGGAGCCAUGACCAACCCAAACAGACAAAGCAAGGAACCAUUGUCUAACCCUAACAAGACAGAGAUAUGUCAACUUUUUUUUGAAAGGUUAACACACACUAAAGGGCAAUGCCAUUAAAGGAGAAGAGGAACUUUGGAAACUGCUGUCUGAAAGGAAAGCAAAGCACUCUUCAUUAACAGCUAGUGGGCUCCUAAUUUCUGCCCAUGAAGGCAUGUUCAUACUGACAGAGCACCCCCUCAAGGGGAAGAACCAUCCGCGCUAAUUCUUGUUGUCCUCUUCUGAGCUAGUGUGCUCAUUGUUCAUACAAACUAGUGUGUCAACAUUAAAACAAAAAGGGAGUUGAAUCAA